rnacentral:tRNA from 1 species
GUGACUAUGGUGUAGCGGUAGCACAGCAGUUUGUGGCACUGCUAGUGAGGGUCCAACUCCCUCUAGUCACC